GAUCAUGGCUCAGAUUGAACGCUGGCGGCAUGCCUUACACAUGCAAGUCGAACGGCAGCACGGGUGCUUGCACCUGGUGGCGAGUGGCGAACGGGUGAGUAAUACAUCGGAACGUACCUUAUCGUGGGGGAUAACGCAGCGAAAGCUGUGCUAAUACCGCAUACGCCCUGAGGGGGAAAGCGGGGGAUCGAAAGACCUCGCGCGAUUAGAGCGGCCGAUGCCUGAUUAGCUUGUUGGUGGGGUAAAAGCCCACCAAGGCGACGAUCAGUAGCUGGUCUGAGAGGACGAUCAGCCACACUGGGACUGAGACACGGCCCAGACUCCUACGGGAGGCAGCAGUGGGGAAUUUUGGACAAUGGGCGCAAGCCUGAUCCAGCAAUGCCGCGUGAGUGAUGAAGGCCUUAGGGUUGUAAAGCUCUUUUACCAGGGAUGAUAAUGACAGUACCUGGAGAAUAAGCUCCGGCUAACUCCGUG
rnacentral:rRNA from 1 species